rnacentral:rRNA from 1 species
AGUGAACGCUGGCGGUAGGCCUAACACAUGCAAGUCGAACGGCAGCACAGUAAGAGCUUGCUCUUACGGGUGGCGAGUGGCGGACGGGUGAGGAAUACAUCGGAAUCUACUUUUUCGUGGGGGAUAACGUAGGGAAACUUACGCUAAUACCGCAUACGACCUACGGGUGAAAGCAGGAGAUCUUCGGACCUUGUGCGAUUGAAUGAGCCGAUGUCGGAUUAGCUAGUUGGCGGGGGAAAGGCCCACCAAGGCGACGAUCCGUAGCUGGUCUGAGAGGGUGAUCAGCCACACUGGAACUGAGACACGGUCCAGACUCCUACGGGAGGCAGCAGUGGGGAAUAUUGGACAAUGGGCGCAAGCCUGAUCCAGCCAUACCGCGUGGGUGAAGAAGGCCUUCGGGUUGUAAAGCCCUUUUGUUGGGAAAGAAAAGCAGCAGGUUAAUACCCCGCUGUUCUGACGGUACCCAAAGAAUAAGCACCGGCUAACUUCGUG